CGAGAGGUGCUUGCACCUUUCAAGCGAGUGGCGAACGGGUGAGUAACACGUGGAUAACCUGCCUCAAGGCUGGGGAUAACAUUUGGAAACAGAUGCUAAUACCGAAUAAAACUUAGUAUCGCAUGAUAUCAAGUUAAAAGGCGCUACGGCGUCACCUAGAGAUGGAUCCGCGGUGCAUUAGUUAGUUGGUGGGGUAAAGGCUUACCAAGACGAUGAUGCAUAGCCGAGUUGAGAGACUGAUCGGCCACAUUGGGACUGAGACACGGCCCAAACUCCUACGGGAGGCUGCAGUAGGGAAUCUUCCACAAUGGGCGCAAGCCUGAUGGAGCAACGCCGCGUGUGUGAUGAAGGCUUUCGGGUCGUAAAGCACUGUUGUAUGGGAAGAAAUGCUAAAAUAGGGAAUGAUUUUAGUUUGACGGUACCAUACCAGAAAGGGACGGCUAAAUACGUGCCAGCAGCCGCGGUAAUACGUAUGUCCCGAGCGUUAUCCGGAUUUAUUGGGCGUAAAGCGAGCGCAGACGGUUGAUUAAGUCUGAUGUGAAAGCCCGGAGCUCAACUCCGGAAUGGCAUUGGAAACUGGUUAACUUGAGUGUUGUAGAGGUAAGUGGAACUCCAUGUG
rnacentral:rRNA from 1 species